AGUACCCUUUCAUCAAACUCUCCCUCAGGAUUCUUCCUCUCCUCUUCUUUCUCAGGUCUGCACAUCAUGUUUACAAAAAUAAAGAAAUCGAAAUCAGAUUACCAGAGAACUGGGGGGAUCAAGAGGUAGGGGGGUGGGCGGUGUGAGGACGUGCAACCUGGAUUGGGUACAGGGGACGACGGCCGGUGAGCAACAACCAUCAGUCAUGGCCGGCGACACUUCUCCACUCCACGACAACGCGAGCGACGCCUAGAGCUCCGGCAUCGCGGUCCUGCCUCCACCUCUGUUCUUCUCACCCUCCCAUGCUCCUGCACACCCAUCAUUAAAACCAAACACCGAAACCCUAACUGCGAAAUAUAAAUUAAUUUAAGGAGAUAGGAAUUAGGAGGAGGAGCUUACACAGGGGAGGAGUUCAAACCCCUUCUUUCUUGUAGAGAUCGAGCCGCCACUGACCGCGACGUCGGCCCUCCCCCGUCCGCCGCCACACCUUCCUCUCCUCUUUCUCUCAGAUCAAGCAGCCACCGACCACGAGGUCGACCCUCUCCCGUCCGCCGCCACACAUCCCUCUCCUCUUUCUCUCUCCUGCGCCGGUCGUCGGGGGAGA
rnacentral:lncRNA from 1 species